rnacentral:rRNA from 2 species
CCCAAAGAUUGGCUAAGUGGAAAACGAAGUGGGAAGGCUAAAACAGUCAGGAGGUUGGCUUAGAAGCAGCCACCCUUUAAAGAAAGCGUAAUAGCUCACUGAUCGAGUCGUCCUGCGCGGAAGAUGUAACGGGGCUAAGCCAGUCACCGAAGCUGCGGAUAUGUCUUAGGACAUAUGGUAGGAGAGCGUUCUGUAAGCCUGCGAAGGUGUCUUGUAAAGGAUGCUGGAGGUAUCAGAAGUGCGAAUGCUGACAUGAGUAGCGAUAAUGGGAGUGAAAAGCUCCCACGCCGUAAGCCCAAGGUUUCCUGUUCAACGUUCAUCGGAGCAGGGUGAGUCGGCCCCUAAGGCGAGGCAGAGAUGCGUAGCUGAUGGGAAGCAGGUUAAUAUUCCUGCACCGUCGUGUGAUGCGAUGGGGGGACGGAUCGCGGAAGGUUGUCCGACUGUUGGAAUAGUCGGUUUGUGCAUCAGAGAAGGCCCUUAGGCAAAUCCGGGGGCGUAAUUCAAGGGUGUGCGACGAGUGGCCUUGUGCCGCGAAGCAAUCGGAAGUGGUUCCAAGAAAAGCCUCUAAGCUUCAGUCACAUGAUGACCGUACCGCAAACCGACACAGGUGGGCGAGAUGAGUAUUCUAAGGCGCUUGAGAGAACUCGGGAGAAGGAACUCGGCAAAUUGGUACCGUAACUUCGGGAUAAGGUACGCCCUAGUAGCUGACUGGCCUGCGCCAGGAGGGUGAAAGGGUUGCAAUAAAAUGGUGGCUGCGACUGUUUAAUAAAAACACAGCACUCUGCAAACACGAAAGUGGACGUAUAGGGUGUGACGCCUGCCCGGUGCUGGAAGAUUAAAUGAUGGGGUGCAAGCUCUUGAUUGAAGUCCCAGUAAACGGCGGCCGUAACUAUAACGGUCCUAAGGUAGCGAAAUUCCUUGUCGGGUAAGUUCCGACCUGCACGAAUGGCGUAACGAUGGCCACACUGUCUCCUCCCGAGACUCAGCGAAGUUGAAAUGUUUGUGAUGAUGCAAUCUACCCGCGGCUAGACGGAAAGACCCCAUGAACCUUUACUGUAGCUUUGCAUUGGACUUUGAACCAAUCUGUGUAGGAUAGGUGGGAGGCUUUGAAGCGGGGACGCCAGUUCUCGUGGAGCCAACCUUGAAAUACCACCCUGGUUUGUUUGAGGUUCUAACCUUGGCCCGUUAUCCGGGUCGGGGACAGUGCAUGGUAGGCAGUUUGACUGGGGCGGUCUCCUCCCAAAGUGUAACGGAGGAGUUCGAAGGUACGCUAGGUACGGUCGGACAUCGUGCUAAUAGUGCAAUGGCAUAAGCGUGCUUAACUGCGAGACUGACAAGUCGAGCAGGUACGAAAGUAGGACAUAGUGAUCCGGUGGUUCUGUAUGGAAGGGCCAUCGCUCAACGGAUAAAAGGUACUCUGGGGAUAACAGGCUGAUUCCUCCCAAGAGUUCAUAUCGACGGGGGAGUUUGGCACCUCGAUGUCGGCUCAUCACAUCCUGGGGCUGUAGCCGGUCCCAAGGGUAUGGCUGUUCGCCAUUUAAAGUGGUACGUGAGCUGGGUUUAAAACGUCGUGAGACAGUUUGGUCCCUAUCUGCCGUGGGCGUUGGAAGUUUGAGGGGGGCUGCUCCUAGUACGAGAGGACCGGAGUGGACGAACCUCUGGUGUACCGGUUGUCACGCCAGUGGCAUUGCCGGGUAGCUAAGUUCGGAAGAGAUAACCGCUGAAAGCAUCUAAGCGGGAAACUUGCCUCAAGAUGAGACUUCCCGGGAACUUGAUUCCCCUAAAGGGUCGUUCGAGACCAGGACGUUGAUAGGCUGGGUGUGGAAGUGCAGUAAUGCAUUAAGCUAACCAGUACUAAUUGCCCGUGCGGCUUGUCCCUAUAACCUUGAUG